GGGGCAUUAGCUCAGUUGGUAGAGUGCCACACUGGCAGUGUGGAUGUCAGGAGUUCGAGUCUCCUAUGCUCCACCA
rnacentral:tRNA from 1 species